rnacentral:rRNA from 1 species
GGAGUUAGCCGGUGCUUCUUCUGUGAGUGAUGUCCUUCCUGCCGGCUAUUAACCCGCAGGCCUUCUUCCUCACUGAAAGUGCUUUACAACCCGAAGGCCUUCUUCACACACGCGGCAUGGCUGGAUCAGGGUUGCCCCCAUUGUCCAAUAUUCCCCACUGCUGCCUCCCGUAGGAGUCUGGGCCGUGUCUCAGUCCCAGUGUGGCUGAUCAUCCUCUCAGACCAGCUACGGAUCGUCGCCUUGGUGAGCCGUUACCUCACCAACCAGCUAAUCCGACAUAGGCUCAUCCGAUAGCGCGAGGCCCGAAGGUCCCCCGCUUUCCCCCGUAGGGCGUAUGCGGUAUUAGCCUGGGUUUCCCCCAGGUUAUCCCCCACUACCGGGGCAGAUUCCUAUGCAUUACUCACCCGUCCGCCGCUCGCCACCAGGGAGCAAGCUCCCCGUGCUGCCGCUCGACUUGCAUGUGUUAGGCCUGCCGCCAGCGUUCAAUCUGACACGAUACACUAACUCUGACUAGCGGCGGUCGUCGGACGACGGCGCA